AACAAUGUACAAAGACUUAUGGUGGAUUCUCCAUCACUGACCAUUUUUAAAUCAACAUUGGAUGUUUUUUCCAAGGAUCUGCUCCAGGAAUUUACUUUGGGGAAGUUCUAUGACCUGUAUUAAACAGGAGGUCAGACUAGAUAAUUACAAUGUUUUCUUCUGGCCUUAGAAUCUGUGAAUCUAUAGCAGGGUUGAGAGAACCUCAAAUGGCUAUUAAAAAUCGAAUCCAAUGCUGAUAGAAAGUCUCCCAUUGAGUUCAGCGGACAUGGAUUAUGGCCCUAAGUUCAAAUGCUCAGACACUGUGAUGAUAGGUGGGAGGUAGAAUACCCAAAACUGCCUUUUGCGUCACCUAAUGGCCAUGAGCAGGAGCGGGUUUUCAAGGUGGAGCAGUGCUAAACCUAGAUACCUAUUCUAAUGAAAUCUUGUUUGAUAAAAUAUGUGUUGAUGGA